UUAAGUUAUUAAGGGCGCACGGUGGAUGCCUUGGCACUAGAAGCCGAUGAAGGACGUUACUAACGACGAUAUGCUUUGGGGAGCUGUAAGUAAGCUUUGAUCCAGAGAUUUCCGAAUGGGGAAACCCAGCAUGAGUUAUGUCAUGUUAUCGAUAUGUGAAUACAUAGCAUAUCAGAAGGCACACCCGGAGAACUGAAACAUCUUAGUACCCGGAGGAAGAAAAAGAAAAUUCGAUUCCCUUAGUAGCGGCGAGCGAAACGGGAAGAGCCCAAACCAACAAGCUUGCUUGUUGGGGUUGUAGGACACUCUAUACGGAGUUACAAAGGACGACAUUAGACGAAUCAUCUGGAAAGAUGAAUCAAAGAAGGUAAUAAUCCUGUAGUCGAAAAUGUUGUCUCUCUUGAGUGGAUCCUGAGUACGACGGAGCACGUGAAAUUCCGUCGGAAUCUGGGAGGACCAUCUCCUAAGGCUAAAUACUCUCUAGUGACCGAUAGUGAACCAGUACCGUGAGGGAAAGGUGAAAAGCACCCCGGAAGGGGAGUGAAAUAGAACCUGAAACCGUGUGCUUACAAGUAGUCAGAGCCCGUUAAUGGGUGAUGGCGUGCCUUUUGUAGAAUGAACCGGCGAGUUACGAUUUGAUGCAAGGUUAAGCAGUAAAUGUGGAGCCGUAGCGAAAGCGAGUCUGAAUAGGGCGUUUAGUAUUUGGUCGUAGACCCGAAACCAGGUGAUCUACCCUUGGUCAGGUUGAAGUUCAGGUAACACUGAAUGGAGGACCGAACCGACUUACGUUGAAAAGUGAGCGGAUGAACUGAGGGUAGCGGAGAAAUUCCAAUCGAACCUGGAGAUAGCUGGUUCUCUCCGAAAUAGCUUUAGGGCUAGCCUCAAGUGAUGAUUAUUGGAGGUAGAGCACUGUUUGGACGAGGGGCCCCUCUCGGGUUACCGAAUUCAGACAAACUCCGAAUGCCAAUUAAUUUAACUUGGGAGUCAGAACAUGGGUGAUAAGGUCCGUGUUCGAAAGGGAAACAGCCCAGACCACCAGCUAAGGUCCCAAAAUAUAUGUUAAGUGGAAAAGGAUGUGGCGUUGCCCAGACAACUAGGAUGUUGGCUUAGAAGCAGCCAUCAUUUAAAGAGUGCGUAAUAGCUCACUAGUCGAGUGACACUGCGCCGAAAAUGUACCGGGGCUAAACAUAUUACCGAAGCUGUGGAUUGUCCUUUGGACAAUGGUAGGAGAGCGUUCUAAGGGCGUUGAAGCAUGAUCGUAAGGACAUGUGGAGCGCUUAGAAGUGAGAAUGCCGGUGUGAGUAGCGAAAGACGGGUGAGAAUCCCGUCCACCGAUUGACUAAGGUUUCCAGAGGAAGGCUCGUCCGCUCUGGGUUAGUCGGGUCCUAAGCUGAGGCCGACAGGCGUAGGCGAUGGAUAACAGGUUGAUAUUCCUGUACCACCUAUAAUCGUUUUAAUCGAUGGGGGGACGCAGUAGGAUAGGCGAAGCGUGCGAUUGGAUUGCACGUCUAAGCAGUAAGGCUGAGUAUUAGGCAAAUCCGGUACUCAUUAAGGCUGAGCUGUGAUGGGGAGAAGACAUUGUGUCUUCGAGUCGUUGAUUUCACACUGCCGAGAAAAGCCUCUAGAUAGAAAAUAGGUGCCCGUACCGCAAACCGACACAGGUAGUCAAGAUGAGAAUUCUAAGGUGAGCGAGCGAACUCUCGUUAAGGAACUCGGCAAAAUGACCCCGUAACUUCGGGAGAAGGGGUGCUCUUUAGGGUUAACGCCCAGAAGAGCCGCAGUGAAUAGGCCCAAGCGACUGUUUAUCAAAAACACAGGUCUCUGCUAAACCGUAAGGUGAUGUAUAGGGGCUGACGCCUGCCCGGUGCUGGAAGGUUAAGAGGAGUGGUUAGCUUCUGCGAAGCUACGAAUCGAAGCCCCAGUAAACGGCGGCCGUAACUAUAACGGUCCUAAGGUAGCGAAAUUCCUUGUCGGGUAAGUUCCGACCCGCACGAAAGGCGUAACGAUUUGGGCACUGUCUCAACGAGAGACUCGGUGAAAUCAUAGUACCUGUGAAGAUGCAGGUUACCCGCGACAGGACGGAAAGACCCCGUGGAGCUUUACUGUAGCCUGAUAUUGAAAUUCGGCACAGCUUGUACAGGAUAGGUAGGAGCCUUUGAAACGUGAGCGCUAGCUUACGUGGAGGCGCUGGUGGGAUACUACCCUAGCUGUGUUGGCUUUCUAACCCGCACCACUUAUCGUGGUGGGAGACAGUGUCAGGCGGGCAGUUUGACUGGGGCGGUCGCCUCCUAAAAGGUAACGGAGGCGCUCAAAGGUUCCCUCAGAAUGGUUGGAAAUCAUUCAUAGAGUGUAAAGGCAUAAGGGAGCUUGACUGCGAGACCUACAAGUCGAGCAGGGUCGAAAGACGGACUUAGUGAUCCGGUGGUUCCGCAUGGAAGGGCCAUCGCUCAACGGAUAAAAGCUACCCCGGGGAUAACAGGCUUAUCUCCCCCAAGAGUUCACAUCGACGGGGAGGUUUGGCACCUCGAUGUCGGCUCAUCGCAUCCUGGGGCUGUAGUCGGUCCCAAGGGUUGGGCUGUUCGCCCAUUAAAGCGGUACGCGAGCUGGGUUCAGAACGUCGUGAGACAGUUCGGUCCCUAUCCGUCGUGGGCGUAGGAAAUUUGAGAGGAGCUGUCCUUAGUACGAGAGGACCGGGAUGGACAUACCUCUGGUGUACCAGUUGUCGUGCCAACGGCAUAGCUGGGUAGCUAUGUGUGGACGGGAUAAGUGCUGAAAGCAUCUAAGCAUGAAGCCCCCCUCAAGAUGAGAUUUCCCAACUUCGGUUAUAAGAUCCCUCAAAGAUGAUGAGGUUAAUAGGUUCGAGGUGGAAGCAUGGUGACAUGUGGAGCUGACGAAUACUAAUCGAUCGAAGACUUAAUCAA
rnacentral:rRNA from 1 species